rnacentral:rRNA from 1 species
GCGAUACAGGGUGACAGCCCCGUACACAAAAAUGCACAUAUUGUGAGCUCGAUGAGUAGGGCGGGACACGUGGUAUCCUGUCUGAAUAUGGGGGGACCAUCCUCCAAGGCUAAAUACUCCUGACUGACCGAUAGUGAACCAGUACCGUGAGGGAAAGGCGAAAAGAACCCCGGCGAGGGGAGUGAAAAAGAACCUGAAACCGUGUACGUACAAGCAGUGGGAGCCUCUUAAUGGGGUGACUGCGUACCUUUUGUAUAAUGGGUCAGCGACUUAUAUUCUGUAGCAAGGUUAACCGAAUAGGGGAGCCGAAGGGAAACCGAGUCUUAACUGGGCGUUAAGUUGCAGGGUAUAGACCCGAAACCCGGUGAUCUAGCCAUGGGCAGGUUGAAGGUUGGGUAACACUAACUGGAGGACCGAACCGACUAAUGUUGAAAAAUUAGCGGAUGACUUGUGGCUGGGGGUGAAAGGCCAAUCAAACCGGGAGAUAGCUGGUUCUCCCCGAAAGCUAUUUAGGUAGCGCCUCGUGAAUUCAUCUCCGGGGGUAGAGCACUGUUUCGGCAAGGGGGUCAUCCCGACUUACCAACCCGAUGCAAACUGCGAAUACCGGAGAAUGUUAUCACGGGAGACACACGGCGGGUGCUAACGUCCGUCGUGAAGAGGGAAACAACCCAGACCGCCAGCUAAGGUCCCAAAGUCAUGGUUAAGUGGGAAACGAUGUGGGAAGGCCCAGACAGCCAGGAUGUUGGCUUAGAAGCAGCCAUCAUUUAAAGAAAGCGUAAUAGCUCACUGGUCGAGUCGGCCUGCGCGGAAGAUGUAACGGGGCUAAACCAUGCACCGAAGCUGCGGCAGCGACACUAUGUGUUGUUGGGUAGGGGAGCGUUCUGUAAGCCUGUGAAGGUGGCCUGUGAGGGUUGCUGGAGGUAUCAGAAGUGCGAAUGCUGACAUAAGUAACGAUAAAGCGGGUGAAAAGCCCGCUCGCCGGAAGACCAAGGGUUCCUGUCCAACGUUAAUCGGGGCAGGGUGAGUCGACCCCUAAGGCGAGGCCGAAAGGCGUAGUCGAUGGGAAACAGGUUAAUAUUCCUGUACUUGGUGUUACUGCGAAGGGGGGACGGAGAAGGCUAUGUUGGCCGGGCGACGGUUGUCCCGGUUUAAGCGUGUAGGCUGGUUUUCCAGGCAAAUCCGGAAAACCAAGGCUGAGGCGUGAUGACGAGGCACUACGGUGCUGAAGCGACAAAUGCCCUGCUUCCAGGAAAAGCCUCUAAGCAUCAGGUAACAUCAAAUCGUACCCCAAACCGACACAGGUGGUCAGGUAGAGAAUACCAAGGCGCUUGAGAGAACUCGGGUGAAGGAACUAGGCAAAAUGGUGCCGUAACUUCGGGAGAAGGCACGCUGAUAUGUAGGUGAAGCGACUUGCUC